UUUUACAAAGCACUUUCUUGUUACUAGUACUUUGAUACUUGUCUGAAUAAUAAAGAAAAUGUGGGGAACUGUCUACUUUAUUGGUAGUGAAAUACAAAAUGUAGAAUUAUUACUUGACAUAUUUAUCAUAAUUUUGAUAUGUUGCAUGCAUUUUUGUACAUACUUUUAUGUUCACAAUAAUUUUCUAAUUCUAAGGUUUAAAUUCUAAAGUUAGACCACUACUAGUAGGAGAAGGGAUGGGGUGCUAAUAGAACUGAUACUGCUGAAUUAUUUGACUUCGACUUUCUUCAGAUCUGCAGUUAGCUUGACAUUUCAGCUAUUCUUCAUGUGGUGUAUACAGUUAUGACAUUAGAUUGACGUAACAGAACAAUAUCAUACAUAAGAUGCAA